CGUGGCCGUGGGUGUGGGGUAGCACUCUGGUGCUUUGUGGCUGGGUUCUUGUGG
rnacentral:lncRNA from 1 species